AGUGGAUGGGGAGCAACCUAGUUGUGCGUGUGUAAAGGUAGUGCCAAGAAAGCGAUGAUCAUGUUGAAAAUCAAUUCCCGGUACCCGAAACCGACACAGGUGGGCAAGUAGAGAAUACUAAGGGGCGCGAGGUAACUCUCUCCAAGGAACUCGGCAAAAUGACCCCGUAACUUAGGGAGAAGGGGUGCCACCGAGAGGUGGUCGCAGUGAAGAGGCCCAGGCGACUGUUUAGCAAAAACAUAGGUCUCUGCAAACUCGAAAGAGGAGGUAUAGGGGCUGACGCCUGCCCAGUGCCGGAAGGUUAAAGAAGUUGGUCAGUUUUAGGAUGAAGCUAGCGACUGAAGCCCCGGUGAACGGCGGCCGUAACUAUAACGGUCCUAAGGUAGCGAAAUUCCUUGUCGGGUAAGUUCCGACCCGCACGAAAGGCGUAACGAUCUGGGCGCUGUCUCGGAGAGAGGCUCGGCGAAAUAGGAUUGUCUGUGAAGAUACGGACUACCCGCAUUUGGACAGAAAGACCCUAUGAAGCUUUACUAUAGCUUGGAAUUGUGUUCGGGCUUCCUGUGCGCAGGAUGGGUGGGAGGCGUAGAAGGUAUUCUUGUGGGGAUACUGGAGCCAACGGUGAGAUACCACUCUCAGGAGGCUAGAAUUCUAACUUAAUUAAGGACAGUUUCAGGUGGGUAGUUUGACUGGGGCGGUCGCCUCCAAAAAGGUAACGGAGGCGUACAAAGGUUCCCUCAGACUGGUUGGAAAUCAGUCGAAGAGUGCAAAGGCAGAAGGGAGCUUGACUGCGAGAAGUACAGUUCGAGCAGGGUGGAAACACGGUCUUAGUGAUCCGACGGUGCUGUGGAAGGGCCGUCGCUCAACGGAUAAAAGUUACUCUAGGAUAACAGGCUGAUCUCCCCCAAGAGUUCACAUCGACGGGGAGGUUUGGCACCUCGAUGUCGGCUCAUCGCAACCUGGGGCGGAAGUACGUCCCAAGGGUUGGGCUGUUCGCCCAUUAAAGCGGUACGUGAGCUGGGUUCAGAACGUCGUGAGACAGUUCGGUCCAUAUCCGAUGUAGGCGUGAGAAUAUUGAGAGGAGCCUUCCUUAGUACGAGAGGACCGGGAAGGACGCACCGCUGGUGUACCUGUUAUGAUGCCAAUUGUAAACGCAGGGUAGCCAAGUGCGGAGAGGAUAACCGCUGAAAGCAUCUAAGUGGGAAGCCCACCUCAAGAUGAGUAUUCUGGUGUAAGGUCACGGGAAGACGACCCGUAAAUAGGCACGAGGUGGAAGUGCAGAGAUGUAUGAAGCCGAAGUGUACUAAUAGACCGUCGGCUUGAUC
rnacentral:rRNA from 1 species